rnacentral:lncRNA from 1 species
GAAGGAUGUGGGUGGGCAAGCUUGGAGGAGUUCAGACCAGGUUAAAUAAUUCUGCAUUUAAAAGGAAGAGAUCAAGAACUAUGGUAAAAAGCUAAAAAGAUUUACAAAGCCAUGACUGGCAAGGGACAAAGAGGAGAAAGAAGAUUUUGGAAAAACAUGGGCAGUUUGGGAACAAAAUACAGAGGAGAAUGAAAUAUAAGCACCUCCUAUUUGAUUAUUCAAAAUAAAUAUUCUUAUUGUCUGAUUAUAAAAGUCACACACAUUUGAACCAAAUGGCUUUGGUUAUGUAUCUCUGUUCCUCUUCCAUGAUCACUAUCCCCCCUCACCCACCCACCAGAGUACAACAGGUAUGUUUGUGCUCUGUGAGCCUGUCUGAUUGGAUCAGAGAAGCAGAGGUUGCAGUGAGCCGAGAUUGUGCCAUUGCACUCCAGCCUGGGUGACAGAGUGAGACUCUGUCUCAAAAAAAGAAAACUAAUGAAUGAGAGUAAUUAAGUCAUUAAAUUAUACAAAUACAUACCCUUUCUACAAUCAUAAGGCAAAUCAAUAAUAAAUUAAUAAAUAACCUAAUUUCUAUCAGUUAUAGAUCACUAUUCUUGUUUCCUUCUCACAAUAUCUUCUCUUUCUACAGUCAUGAUUUUAGGUUUUAGUUUGUUUUUAUUUUUCACUUUCUUCUAUUUUUUGCAUUGCCUCUUAUUCUUUUGUUUUGUAUUCUAUAAAUUCACUCAGCGGCUGGAAUACCUAAAGCCUCCUUGAGUUCCUUCACCAGCUGCCAGGCGUUCAAAGCAUCGCACAAGUUUAUAAAUCCAGGGGCUCCAUUUAGAACUAAAUGUAAAAAUAUACAUGCACACACAGUGAAAUAUUAUUCAGCAUUAAGAAAUAAGCUACCAACCCACAAAAAGAUGUGGAAGAAACUUAAUGCAUGUCUCACACAACCCCAUCUUUGUUCUUGCUUCAAUUUUGUUUUAGAUACAAUCGCAACCAUACACUCUGUAAUAACAUCACUGCCAAAUACUCAAACCACAUGAAAAGGCAAAGUGCCUUUUCUAUUGUGGAAAUAAGCCCAUGUUGGGGAGAAAUCCUGGGAAUCUCGCACAAGAAACGCUUAUUUACGUGUCCAGGGCCGCCUCUGCCAUGUUUACCACAAAUAAUACUUUAAAUCACUUAAACCCGGGAGGCGGAGGUCACAGUGAGCCAAGAUCACGCAACUGCACUCCGCCUUGGGCAACAAGAGCAAAACGCCAUCUUAAAAAAAAGAAACAAAACAAUAAUGUCCAUUCUUACCACUUCUACUGAACACUGUACUAGAAGUUCUAGCCAGAGCAAUUAGCAAAGAAAAGAAAAUAAAAGGCAUCAGGACUGGAAAGAAAGCAGUGAAGUUAUAUCUAUUUGCAGAUGAUACCACCUAGUAUACAGAAAAUCCCAAAUUCACAAAAAUAACCUUUUAGCACUAAUAAAUGAGUUCAGCAAAGCCGCAGGAUAUAUGAUCAAUAUAUAAAAAUCAAUUGUAUUAAAAUUGCAGUGAGCCAAGAUGACGCCACUGUGCUCCAGCCUGGGCGAGAGUAAGACUCCGUCUCAAAAAAAAGAAAAAACUUGUGAUGAUCAAAGGAAACCAUCAAGAAAGGCUAACACAAUCCAUAGAAUGAGAGGAAAUAAACUUACAACUCAAUAAUAAACAGAUAAAUACCUCAACUAAAAAUGGACAAGAGGUCUCAACAGACAUUUCUCCAAAGGAGGUAAACAACUGGCUAGGAAGCACAUCCAACGGUGUUCCACAUUAUUUGGAAAGCAAAUUAUAACCACAAUGAGAUGCCACUUCAGAACCCCUAGAAUGACUAGAAUCAAAAAGACAGAUAGUAACGUUGAUGAGGAUGUGGAGAAACUGGAGCCCCAUCCAGCACACUGCUGCUGGAAAUGUAAAAUGGUGCAGCACUCUGAAAUACAGGGUCGCAGUUCCUCAAAAGCUAAACAUAGUUACCAUAUGACCAAGGAAUUCCACUCCUAGGUAUAUACCCCAAUGAAACGAAUGUGUAUGUCCACACAAAAACUUAUACACAAAUAUUUAUAGCUGCAUUAUUCAUAAUAUUCAAAAAGUAGAAACAACCCAAAUGUCCAUCAACAAAUGAACUGAUAAACAACAGGGUAUGACCACACAAUGGAUUAUUUUUCAGCACUAAAAACGAAAUGAACUAUUGAUACUAUGCUAUAACAUGGAUAAACCUUGAAAACAUGCUAAGUGAAAGAAGCCAGGAACAAAAAAACCAUAUAUUGUUAGAUUCUAUUUAUAUGAAAAUGUCCACUACAGGCAAAUCAGACACGUAACAAUUGGUGGUUGCCGAGGCUGGAGGACGUUGGGGAAAUGGAGAAUAAAUGCGUAUGGGUAUAGGGUUUAGGGUGGGGGUGAUGAAUAUGUUUUAAUAUUGGAUGUGGCAAUUAAUAUGGUUUGGAUGUGUGUCCUCUCCAAAUCUCAUUUUGCAAUGUGAUCCCCAAUGUUGGAGGUGGGGCCUGGUGGGAGAUGAUUGGGUCACGGGGGAGAUCCCUUAUGAAUGGCUUGGUGCCCUCCCCAUAAUGAGUCCUCACUCUGAGUUCAUGUAGAGCUGGUUGUUUAACAGAGCCGGGCAGGCCGGGCGUGGUGGCUCACACCUAAUCCCAGCACUUUGGGAGGCCGGGGUGGGUGCAUCAUUUGAGGUCAGGAGUUCCAAGAGCAGCCUGACCAACAUGGUGAAACCCCAUCUCUACUAAAAAUAGUAAAAAUGAGUUGGGCGUGGUGACAAACGCCUGUAAUCUCAGCUACUCAGGAGGCUGAGGCAGGAGAAUCACUUGAACACAGGAGGCAGAGGUUGCAGUGAGCCAAGGUCAUGCCACUGAACUCCAACCUGAGCAACAGAGCGAGACCCUGUCUCAAAAUAAAAUUAAAUUAAAUUAAGAAUAAAAGUUAAAAAGUAAAAGAGCUGGGCAACUCCUCCUCUCCCUCUCUCUUGCUUCUUCUCUCAUGGGAUAUGCCAGCUCCCCCUCUGCUUUCCACUGUGAUUAUAAACUUCCUGAGGCCCUCACCAGAAGUUGAUGCUGGCACCACACUUCUUGUACUGUCUAUAGAAUCACGAGCCAAAAUAAACCUGUUUUCAUAAAUUACCCAGCUUCUAGUAUUCCUUUAUAGCAAUGCAGAACAGACUAACACAGUAAUGGUUGCACAACUUCUGUGAACCACUGAUUUGUACAUUUUAAAUUGGUGAGUUGUAUGGUAUGUGGAUUAGAUCUCAAUAAAGCUGUUACGUAUAUUUAAGAGAAACAGCCAGUAUCUUUAUGCAAAUAACUCAGUUAGUUGUGCAAGUUGAUAAUUCCUAAUAUGAAAACCUGAAAUCUGAAAUGCUCCAAAAUCUGAAACUUUUUGAGCGUCAACAUGACACUUGGAGGAAAUGCUCACUGAAGCAUUUCGGAUUUCUGAGGGACGCUCAACUGGCAUGUUACCUGCAAAUAUUCCAAAAUCUGAAGAAAUCUGAAAUCCAAGACACUUCUGGGUCCCAAGCAUUUCAGAUAAGGGAUACUCAACCUAUACAUACUAAGAUUUAGAUUGUAACUUCCUAAAAAACUUCAGUAUGUAUUUUGGUAUAUAAAUCUGGCCAAACCAAAAUGCUUACACACAUACAAAGUCACACAGAAGGUACGCAGUAAAGGUUUAUAGUGAGUAAGAAA